UGAUAUAUACAUCAAUUGAAAGUCAAAGGAAAAUUUAAGUGACUAAAAAUAAAUGCAAAUUCGAAGUGGAAAUAUUUGGACAUGAAUGCAAAAAUUCAAGUUAAAGUUUUAAUAAUAGAAUUAUCAAAAAAAAAAAAAGCGUAAUGAAACUAGUGAAUUUAUAACAUCAGAUCUUUGGAUUUUGCGAAUUGGUCGGUAAAUUAGUAAAGAUAAAAGAAAUCAAUAAAAAAAUGGAAAAAUACUAAGCGAAAUAAAAAUAGCUCUACGCCUGAGUCUACUCCAUGCCCCCAACUAUACUAGAAUAUUAUCACGGAUUUACUAAACGUUUAGAAAGAAGCAGUUGUCAAAUUUAAUGUUGUAAUUGAAAAACGUCUGCAAUCAAUUUUUCGAAUCAGAAGUCAAAAUUUUCUGUAAUUGAAUAAAAACCACAGAUCUAUCUCUACACUGAGAGAGUAGUGUGCUUGACUCUCAAAAUGCUGCAGUUGUUGCAAUCUGAGCUCGACCGACCUGUUACGAUAUGCUAAGCUAGAGCUGUGAUGUGCUGCAGCCUGUCGUGCAUCCAAUCGGAUAGAUUUGGCUUCAAUUUGAGGAUCCCUUAACUUACUUUAUCAGCGAUUAGCUAUACCAGCAUCUCGGGUAUUGCUGUAGCCCAGUAUCUUGCACGGUGUGCAAGAGCCUCGGAAGUUACGGCUUGUCAAUCUCAUUGCUCAAUUGUUAUCUCUCGCUGACCGGAGUUGCGGAUAGCUCUAACUAUCCAAGCCUUAUAUACAUAUCUGGCUACGAUCUCCAACACUGUGCUGCACACCCUGGCGAAGCGCAUGGCCAGUCGUUACAUUUACAUCCUUUUCAUAUGCGUGUGCGGCAGAUGUAGCGUUUUGAGAGUUAACCAUCCCAUUCUCUCAAUGUAGAGAUGGUUCUGUGGCAUA